UCGAGCUCCUCGUAGCCGCCCUGGCUGAGGUUGUAGCGCGCCCGCAGCUCCUGCUGCCGCAGCUCCAGCCGCUGCCGCUCGAUCAUCUCGGGCUCCGACUCCAGCGCGUCGAAGACCGCGGCGCCCACCAGCAGGUUUAUGACUUCUGAGAAGCAAGCAGGGCAGAGGCAGCCUGUUCUCAGCACCAAACACAAUGAUCAUAAGAGCACUUGCAGUGAUUAAUCAGCGGUGAGUAUUGAGUGGUGGCGGUGAGCACGAGCGGCAGUGUGUGUGCCUGUGUGUCUGUCUGUCUUGGAGCAGGGGAGAGGGCGAGAGAGAUGACUGUGCUCCCAGUGAGCAGGUUGCGGGUGUCCCCCACCCUGGGGUGGAAUUGGACAGUGACCAUGGGGCUCCUCAUGUAGCGUCAUGUCCUGGCCAGGGCUGCAGUUGUUUCUGCCCAGGGAAGAAUCCUGACUCCUGUGGCUCCAGCUGCUGGACCAUGCUGAGAGGAAGGAGCUGACAAACAGAAGCAGGUUCCAGGCCUGUCAACCAGAUUAACGAGGGGCCUCGCCAGCAUGAUUUCCCCAAAAUGUGCCAGGCGCUUUCUUGCCUUUGUGUCAGAAGUACACAUUAAACCAGGUACGUAUUUUAGUAUAUCUAGUGCUCUCAGCAGCUCUAGGAAUGACAUCAUUCCCAUCUUACAGAUGAGAAAACUGAGACUCACAGCAAGGCAACUUGCCUAACCUCUUAUAGUUACAUAGACAAUAGAUCUAAGAUUUAAACUCAGCUUAGUAUAACUCUACAGUCUGUGCUUUUCCUCUUCUGCCACUUCCUCACUAGAAGUUGGUGGAGGGCAAAGCUCAGCAGCCAUAGGGGUAUAAAACAGAAGGUGGUAUCAAUGCUGGGCCAGGUGAAUCGUUAGAGCUUUGAAAAAUACCAGUUGCAUGAAUGGAUGAGUAGCUCAGAGAGGAAGGCUGUCGGAAGGGCCAGGCUCCAGCAUCAGAGUUUACCCAAGGAGGCAGAUGCUCAGGAAGCAGGAGUUGAGGGGGAGGCCCCCUGACUCCAGCUUGCUAAGAGAUUGGGAGAGAGGACUGUCAGUGAACACGCUGGUGUCCCAUGCAAGGUGGAAGUGAGGGAGGCAGAGCUGUACACGGCCCAGCCCCAGCACACUGCCCAGGCACCCAGCCUAGGCAGGGAAUCAGAAGGACUUCUAUGUCUGUGCACAAGGUAAAGAAUGCCUUGGUGGCUUUAAGCUGGAUAGCUGGGAGAAGAGUAGUGUCUUUGGGGCGCCCUGUGAUCUGAAGGAGAAGGGACCAUCCAACUGCAUGGUCGCAGGUUGGUUCUGGCACUAGGUCACAUGAAGGGGGAAGGCAUGGGGGCUAUCAGGCUCUGAGCCUUGCAGAUCUCAGAUGUAUCCAGAGAUGGUGCAGAGCAGUGAACCAUGGAAACCACAGCAUGUCAGGGAGAUGGGGAUCAGCUGGAAAGCAGCGCUCUGGAAGGGCACACUGCUGAUGGAAAAUGUGAUGUUGUUAAGGAACAAUGUGGGCCAAAGGAAUGAGCUGUAACUUGCUGGAUCCAAAGGACAAUCGGCUGCCAGAAGUUCAGGGGUGUCUGAUGAUUGCCUGACACUGUCCUGGGGGAGGGACUGAGCCCAGCCCAGAGGCCAGAAGGCUCCAUGGCCCUUUCUGUACCCUAAUACCAUGCCACGCUAACCUUCUGGUCUAUUAAUAAAUGCUUGACGAAUUGAGCCACAGCAGGCUUCCUCCCCAACCCUGUCUUAUGUCUCCAG